rnacentral:lncRNA from 1 species
AUUGAUUGCAUUACUACGGUUCCAUUACAAGAGUUCAGCGACACAACAGAUAAAGGUAAAGAUAAAAUUAACUCAACAAAAGACAGAUUCUUAAUAUGAGAGACGCAAACAAUACAAUUAAAGAGAAGACACUUACUAUUGAUCAUUUUUUCAGCGGAGAAGAAAAGCAGAAAAGAUUCUCAUGAACCAGUCACGUUUAUAUGAAGUGAUAAUGUGGCCGAUGGCGAGUCCACAAAACAAACCAGGUACAUAGCCUAUUGCAGCUGCAAUCCAGCUAAAUGCUUUAUCUUUCUCUUCCUUUUCUUCAUCUUCAUCCUGUUCUUGCUUUGUUGAUUCUUCUUCUUCUUCUUCUCCACCACAUUUUUUUAGGAGAGGAGCACCGCAAAGCCCGGGAUUCUCUGCGAAAGAAGAACUAUUCUGGGUUUGAAUUUGAGUGCCUUGUGGUAUUGGACCUUCAAGCCUGUUGUACGAGAAGUUCAUCCACUCUAGAAAU